rnacentral:rRNA from 1 species
AGCGAACGCUGGCGGCAGGCCUAACACAUGCAAGUCGAACGAAGUCUUCGGACUUAGUGGCGGACGGGUGAGUAACACGAGGGAACGUGCCUUUAGGUCCGGAAUAACUCAGGGAAACUUGUGCUAAUACCGAAUGUGCCCUCUGGGGGAAAGAUUUAUCGCCUUUAGAGCGGCUCGCGUCUGAUUAGCUAGUUGGUGAGGUAAAGGCUCACCAAGGCUACGAUCAGUAGCUGGUCUGAGAGGAUGAUCAGCCACAUUGGGACAGAGACACGGCGCAAACUCCUACGGGAGGCAGCAGUGGGGAAUCUUGCGCAAUGGGCGAAAGCCUGACGCAGCCAUGCCGCGUGGAUGAUGAAGGUCUUAGGAUUGUAAAAUCCUUUCACCGGUGAAGAUAAUGACUGUAGCCGGAGAAGAAGCCCCGGCUAACUUCGUGCCAGCCGCCGCAGUAAUAC